rnacentral:rRNA from 1 species
GAGUUUGAUCGUGGCUCAGAUUGAACGCUGGCGGCAGGCCUAACACAUGCAAGUCGAGCGGAUGACGGGAGCUUGCUCCUUGAUUCAGCGGCGGACGGGUGAGUAAUGCCUAGGAAUCUGCCUGGUAGUGGGGGACAACGUUUCGAAAGGAACGCUAAUACCGCAUACGUCCUACGGGAGAAAGCAGGGGACCUUCGGGCCUUGCGCUAUCAGAUGAGCCUAGGUCGGAUUAGCUAGUUGGUGGGGUAAUGGCUCACCAAGGCGACGAUCCGCAACUGGUCUGAGAGGAUGAUCAGUCACACUGGAACUGAGACACGGUCCAGACUCCUACGGGAGGCAGCAGUGGGGAAUAUUGGACAAUGGGCGAAAGCCUGAUCCAGCCAUGCCGCGUGUGUGAAGAAGGUCUUCGGAUUGUAAAGCACUUUAAGUUGGGAGGAAGGGCAGUAAGUUAAUACCUUGCUGUUUUGACGUUACCGACAGAAUAAGCACCGGCUAACUCUGUGCCAGCCGCCG